rnacentral:rRNA from 1 species
UACGGAGGAUCCAAGCGUUAUCCGGAUUCAUUGGGUUUAAAGGGUGCGUAGGCGGGAUAGUAAGUCAGUGGUGAAAUCCUGCAGCUUAACUGCAGAACUGCCAUUGAUACUGCUAACCUAGAGUACAGCUGAUGUGGGCGGAAUGUGUCGUGUAGCGGUGAAAUGCUUAGAUAUGACACAGAACACCGAUUGCGAAGGCAGCUCACAAAACUGUAACUGACGCUGAGGCACGAAAGUGUGGGGAUCGAACAGG